GUAUCUGAUUCCCGUCUCCGUUGUAACACAGCAUACGUCAAAUCAAACAGAAACAGAUAAAGAAAUAUGGUUGUUGACAAAAAUGGAAGAGCAAAUUAAACAGCCGGACAUCCUCAACAUGCCAGUGCCCAUGUUCGUCGUGUUUGUUAAGACAGCCAGCUGAUGACGACACCUCCUUACUGUAAAGGAUGUUGUAAACUGAUUGUAAAAGAAAACAGAAAAACGUUGUCUCAUUUUUUUUUGAAGGUUCUAGCACAAUUCUUUCCUGGUUUAGGCAAACAGGGUGGUUAUGUUUUGUCGAAGAAAGCUUCAGCUUUCAGCAGUCCAUCUAUGGAAGAAAAUCUGUUUGUCGACGUAAUGUAUAUACGCUGUUUCAGAUCUGAGGCUGCUUUCAGUUAUGCUCCGAAAUCACAAGAUUCUGUCAA